rnacentral:rRNA from 1 species
UACGAAGGGGGCUAGCGUUGCUCGGAAUCACUGGGCGUAAAGCGCACGUAGGCGGAUAUUUAAGUCAGGGGUGAAAUCCUGGAGCUCAACUCCAGAACUGCCUUUGAUACUGAGGAUCUUGAGUACGGGAGAGGUGAGUGGAACUGCGAGUGUAGAGGUGAAAUUCGUAGAUAUUCGCAAGAACACCAGUGGCGAAGGCGGCUCACUGGCCCGUAACUGACGCUGAGGCACGAAAGCGUGGGGAGCAAACAGG